CGGCCGCGUCGACAACUGACGCUGAUGCUCGAAAGUGUGGGGUAUCAAACAGGAUUAGAUACCCUGGUAGUCCACACGGUAAACGAUGGAUACUCGCUGUUGGCGAUAUACGGAUUAUGGGUUAAGGAGCGUAGGCGGGAGUAUUAAGUCCAGCGUGUGAAAGUUCGGGGCUCGAACCUUAGGAAUUAGCUAGUUGGAAACCUGGUUUCUUGAGUGCGGCAGAGGUCAGGCGGAAUUCGUGGUGUAGCGGUCGAAAUUGCUUAGAUAUCGAACGAAGAACCCCGAUUGGCGAAAGGCAGGCUUGCUAGGAGCGUAACUGACGCUUGAUGCUCGAAAGUGUGGGUAAUCAAACAGGUAUUACGGAUAACCCGUGGUAGUCCAACGACGGUAAACGAUAGGAUACUCGCUGUUGCGAUAUACGGUCAGCGACAAGCGAAAGUCAUUAACGUACUCCCGAACCUGGGGACUAAGUCGCCGGACGUAACGGUAGAAACGUCAAAGGUAAUUCGAACGGGGCCCAGACCGAACGGACCGUAGGGAACCUAUAGGUAGGUUUAAUUCGGAAUGGUAAGUACCGGUCGAAGGUAACCCGUACCGGGUUAAAC
rnacentral:rRNA from 1 species